rnacentral:misc_RNA from 1 species
AAGUCGUAACAAGGUUUCCGUAGGUGAACCUGCGGAAGGAUCAUUAACACUUACCUGUUCAUGCUUGUAACAAAGCUGUGAACAUGUAUACCAACACAACCUCUGUGCUCCCUUUCUUUUUUCCACACCUUUUUAACCCAUACACAUAGAAAUAUUCAAAUUCAGUAUGUUGCUUAACCGCACCAUAUGUUGUUUAGUUUAAUGAAUACUAUUUCAAAUGUAGUGUUAAUUCACUUACAUUUGAUAUAUGUAUUUGUGACACACAACUCUUAACAAUGGAUAUCUUGGCUCUC